rnacentral:rRNA from 1 species
AAUUUGCAGAGGAUGCUCUUGGCGAGGCACCGUCCGAGUUCCCUGGAACGGGACGCCAUAGAGGGUGAGAGCCCCGUAUGGACGACUGCCGAGCCGCUGUAGAGCUCCUUCGACGAGUCGAGUAGUUUGGGAAUGCUGCUCUAAACGGGAGGUAAAUCUCUUCUAAAGCUAAAUAUUGGCCACAGACCGAUAGCGCACAAGUAGAGUGAUCGAAAGAUGAAAAGCACUUUGAAAAGAGAGUUAAACAGCACGUGAAAUUGUUGAAAGGGAAGCGCUCGUGACCAGACUUGCGCCCGGUGGAUCAUCCGGCGUUCUCGCCGGUGCACUCCGCCGGGGGCAGGCCAGCAUCGGUUCGCUGUCAGGGAGAAAGGCUCGGGGAAUGUGGCUCCCUCGGGAGUGUUAUAGCCCCUUGCGUAAUACCCUUCGGCGGACCGAGGUUCGCGCAUCUGCAAGGAUGCUGGC